GUAUCUCCUAUACACUGCUGACACUGCGACCGUAUCUCCUAUACACUGCUGACACUGUGACAGUAUCUCCUAUACACUGCUUACACUGUGACCGUAUCUCCUAAACACUGCUCACACUGUGACCGUAUCUCCUAAACACUGCUCACACUGUGACCGUAUCUCCUAAACACUGCUUACACUGUGACCGUAUUUCCUAAACACUGCUUACACUGUGACCGUAUCUCCUAAACACUGCUGACACUGUGACCGUAUCUCCUAAACACUGCUGACACUGUGACCGUAUCUCCUAUACACUGCUUACACUGUGACCGUAUCUCCUAUGCACUGCUUACACUGUGACCCAAUCGCCUAUACACUGCUUACACUGUGAUCCAAUCGCCUAAACACUGCUUACACUGUGACCCAAUCGCCUACACACUGCUUACACUGUGAAUGUUAGUUUUUUCAAGUUAGUUUUAGUGUUUGCGGUUUCAUUGAUUUGUUAACCACUCUCCUCAAUCUUCUGUUCUGUGUUUUCUUACAUUUGUGGGAAGAACAAGGUGAUCCUCUCAAUUUUACACUCCUUUACUGAUGGUUCCAGUGCCAGAGACAAACCCACCACCAUUAACCUCAACCUGCUCAAACAGAAGAGAUUACCUUCUUCUAUAGAAAACGUCCAUAUGGCUGUUUCGGAACACAUGCUGCAGACAUGAUUUAACCUUCAUUUUCCAGUGAUUAAGAAUCGUGGACCGUCCAGGGAAAGAGACCAUUAUAUUAUUAAGAUACUACCUUCCUAAUGCCAUACAGCCUUUCUUUACAUGUGAUUGAACUUUCUCCUUCUUGGAUACCACAGUGUGACUUUUCUUAACCAGUUUCCAAAUUUGACUUUUAUAUUUUUUCCACUAUACAUAUAAAGUCUAAAAUACAUAUUAACUUUGAAGAAAUAAAGUAUUUUGCUG